rnacentral:rRNA from 1 species
GACGAACGCUGGCGGCGUGCUUAACACAUGCAAGUCGAACGAUGAAGCCUAGCUUGCUAGGUGGAUUAGUGGCGAACGGGUGAGUAAUACGUGAGUAACCUACCUUUAACUCUGGGAUAAGCCCGGGAAACUGGGUCUAAUACCGGAUACGACCAAUCUCCGCAUGGGGUGUUGGUGGAAAGCGUUAUGUAGUGGUUAUAGAUGGGCUCACGGCCUAUCAGCUUGUUGGUGAGGUAACGGCUCACCAAGGCGACGACGGGUAGCCGGCCUGAGAGGGUGACCGGCCACACUGGGACUGAGACACGGCCCAGACUCCUACGGGAGGCAGCAGUGGGGAAUAUUGCACAAUGGGCGCAAGCCUGAUGCAGCGACGCCGCGUGAGGGAUGACGGCCUUCGGGUUGUAAACCUCUGUUAGCAGGGAAGAAGAGAGAUUGACGGUACCUGCAGAGAAAGCGCCGGCUAACUACGUGCCAGCAGCCGCGGUAAUACGUAGGGCGCGAGCGUUGUCCGGAAUUAUUGGGCGUAAAGAGCUUGUAGGCGGUUUGUCGCGUCUGCUGUGAAAGGCCGGGGCUUAACUCCGUGUAUUGCAGUGGGUACGGGCAGACUAGAGUGCAGUAGGGGAGACUGGAAUUCCUGGUGUAGCGGUGGAAUGCGCAGAUAUCAGGAGGAACACCGAUGGCGAAGGCAGGUCUCUGGGCUGUAACUGACGCUGANNAUCGAAAGCAUGGGGAGCGAACAGG